UGAACGCUGGCGGCAUGCCUAAGACAUGCAAGUCGAACGAGAAGGCCCAAUGAUUAUGGAGUGCUUGCACAAAGUAUGAUUUGGAUUUCCUUCUAGUGGCAAACGGGUGAGUAACACGUGGGUUACCUACCUCUAAGACGGGGACAACAGUUGGAAACGAUUGCUAAUACCGGAUGUGCUCUACGGAGUAAAGGAGCCUUUAAAGCUUCGCUUAGAGAUGGGCCUGCGGUGCAUUAGCUAGUUGGUGGGGUAAUGGCCUACCAAGGCGACGAUGCAUAGCCGAACUGAGAGGUUAAUCGGCCACACUGGGACUGAGACACGGCCCAGACUCCUACGGGAGACAGCAGUUAGGAAUAUUCGUCAAUGGGGGAAACCCUGAACGAGCAAUGCCGCGUGAGUGAUGACGGUCCUAUGGAUUGUAAAACUCUGUUGUUUGGAAAGAACUGUAUAAGUAGGAAAUGACUUAUACUUGACGGUACCAUUCAAGAAAGCCACGGCUAACUACGUG
rnacentral:rRNA from 1 species